GAUGAACGCUAGCUACAGGCUUAACACAUGCAAGUCGAGGGGCAGCAUGUCGGUUGCUUGCAACCGACGAUGGCGACCGGCGCACGGGUGAGUAACGCGUAUCCAACCUACCCUUGUCCAUCGGAUAACCCGUCGAAAGGCGGCCUAACACGAUAUGCGGUUCUCAGCAGGCAUCUAACGAGAACGAAAUGUGAAGGAGAAGGAUGGGGAUGCGUCUGAUUAGCUUGUUGGCGGGGUAACGGCCCACCAAGGCGACGAUCAGUAGGGGUUCUGAGAGGAAGGUCCCCCCACAUUGGAACUGAGACACGGUCCAAACUCCUACGGGAGCAGCAGUGAGGAAUAUUGGUCAAUGGACGGGAGUCUGAACCAGCCAAGUAGCGUGCAGGAUGACGGCCCUAUGGGUUGUAAACUGCUUUUAUAAGGGAUAAAGUGAGUCUCGUGAGACUUUUUGCAUGUACCUUAUGAAUAAGGACCGGCUAAUUCCGUG
rnacentral:rRNA from 1 species